rnacentral:rRNA from 1 species
GGGCACCCUGAACGCAGCAGUGCCGCGUGGAUGAAGAAGGCCUUCGGGUUGUAAAGUCCUUUCGUGGGGGACGAAAAGGCGGGUCCUAAUACGAUCUGCUGUUGACGUGAACCCAAGAAGAAGCACCGGCUAACUCCGUGCCAGCAGCCGCGGUAAUACGGGGGGUGCAAGCGUUAAUCGGAAUCACUGGGCGUAAAGGGUGCGUAGGCGGUACGUUAGGUCUGUCGUGAAAUCCCCGGGCUCAACCUGGGAAUGGCGGUAGAAACCGGCGCACUAGAGUAUGGGAGAGGGUGGUGGAAUUCCAGGUGUAGCGGUGAAAUGCGUAGAGAUCUGGAGGAACAUCAGUGGCGAAGGCGGCCACCUGGCCCAAUACUGACGCUGAGGCACGAAAGCGUGGGGAGCAAACAGGAUUAGAUACCCUGGUAGUCCACGCCCUAAACGAUGAAUACUAGAUGUUUGNUACCUAGCGUACUGAGUGUCGUAGCUAACGCGAUAAGUAUUCCGCCUGGGAAGUACGGGCGCNAGGUUAAA